CCCGGGUGUGGUGGGGUACACGUGUAGUCUCAGCUACUCGGGAGGCCGAGGCAGGAGGAUUGUGUGAGUCCAGGAGUUCUGAGGAUAUACUGGGCUAUGUCAGUCAGGUGUCUGCACUAAGUUUGGCAUUGACAUGGUGACCUCCUGGGAGCAGGGGACCACCAGGUUGCCUCAGGAGGGGUGAACUGGACCAGUUUGGAAAGAGAGCAGGUCAAAACUCCUGUGCCAGUCAGUAGUGGGAUCACACCUGUGAAUAGCCACUAGACAUCAGCCUGGGCAACAUAGUGAGACCCUGCCUCUA
ensembl:misc_RNA Metazoa_SRP Metazoan signal recognition particle RNA